AGAUGCCAGAUGAAUCUUCCCGAAACCCGAAUAUUUCCUCAGAAUUAAGACGGGAUUAUGACAGAACUCAGAACUGAGCAUUAUCCUGGUCACGAUAAAACCCAGAACUGCAGAGGAGAAGGAUGAUGUGCUAGUUACUUGACUCUAAAUCGGAAUUUGCAGCUACUCAUCCUGAUGGUUUCUGAUGGAACCAAGAAGAUAUAUUCUCAGUCUCAGACCCUACAAAUAAUAUCAACUGAUGACCAGGAUGUUCAAGGAGGGGACAAUGUCUCAAAGGUUUUUGAUGCUCUUACCAAGGCAGUCAAUACAUCUGGGGACUUGGAAGCAGGGUGUUUAAGGUGCUGAUCCGCAACACUGCCUUUUCCUCUACUACGUCUUCAACAGGGCGCCCUCUCUGUCGACACUCCAUGGAUAAUGACUGUUGUGAGAAAUGCUACUUUCAACCUUCAGUCUUGGCCCAGCAUGAAGGAGACAUUGGUUUGUACAAACAAGCCAGGAUGACGUGAUCAGAGGGUUGCAACUUCUUUCUACCUUGGCCCAGCUUGAAGGAGACAUUGGAACAAGCUUGGAUGACAUGAUCCAAGGGAUCCAACUUCUUUCUACCUGCACACUUGGCCCAGCUUGAAGAAGACAUUGGAACAAGCCAGGAUGGCGUGAUCAGAGGGAUGCGACUUCUUUCAACCUGCAGUCUUGGCCCAGCUUGAAGGAGACAUAAACAAGCCAGGAUGACAUGAUCAGAGGGAUCCAACUUCUAUCAACCUACAGUCUUGUCCCAGCAUGAAGGAGACAUUGGGACAAGCAGGGAUGACGAGAUCAGAGGGAUACAACUUCUUUCUACAGGCUGCAUUCUUAGCCCAGCUUGAAGGAGACAUUGUAUAACAAACCAGGAUGACGUGAUCAGAGGGAUCCAACGACCUGCAGACUUGGCCCGACAUGGAGGGAAAUACUUGAGGGGGUAUCUCACUGAGCGGCAAAUGUUUCGAAUGUGAACUUGUGAUUCAUCAGCUUUUCUGACAAGUGAUGCAAACUCUUUCAAAUGUCUGUUUGUGAUAUUGAUAUUUAUAUUUACAAACUGCUUCAAAACAAGGCAUAUUUGCAAACGUGUGACACCUGUUUUUUAAUCAGUGGGUUGAAUUCAUACAGGAGCCAUAUGCAGAUGCAGAUCAAAAUUACAACUGUUUUGCAAAACAUAAUCAAAAUUUCUUGUGACAAGAAAAACUGUUUGCAACAAUGAAAAGUGUUUACAAACUUUCUUGCAAUCUUUUACAAGCCCUGGUAAAUUCUCAAUUUCGCUACCUUUGCAAGCAUUCGCUGCUCAGUGAGAUACGUCCUUCAAGAUAAUAUGUGACCUGCCACCACAAAAAUCAACAAUGACUCACCCAAUAUGAAUGUUGAGAAUUUUCUC